rnacentral:lncRNA from 1 species
GAGCCGCAGUGCUUUACGAUGCCGACCACAGUUUGGAAUUAGGGGAUACAGACAUUCUGAUGGCAAGGGUCAGGGAAUCUCCUAGGACACUGGAGGAAUACCAGGCCUGGGGCUAAGCAGCUCGUUUUUCCUUUUUGACACAAAGGAGGGGCUGGAGGCUUCUGAGCCAAGGCUCUGCUGGACUAGGGAUGGUGUUGCCAAUGAAUAGCAUGGAUUGGAAAAGACCAGACUGGAAGUGGGAGCCGGGCAACUAGGGAACUGGAACAAUAGGCCAAGCGGGGGGCCAGCGGUUGGCAACAGGGCCCAUGUGGCCCCAGGCAAUGUGAAGGCGGUCAGUAGGCAGGGAGGUGGGGUGGGAAAGGGAUCAGCUGGGGGAGGUAGGCAGAAAAGGCUCAGGUCCAAGUUCCAGGCCAUGCUAAGGCAACAAGUGUCACAGAGGUCCGUGGUGGGGCCGAGGAUGGACUGCAGACCCUAAAGGCCAAGUCCAACUUCCCUCUAUCGCUCCUCUGGGUGAAGAAUGCAUGUUUCCUCCAGAGUCUCAGAUUAGAUAGACAUCCUUUGACCUUGUCUAUCCAGUUCUGUUUCCCUCUUCUUCCCAUAGGGGUCUCCCUCCCUCCCCGUCCUUAAGUGGGGCGGGCACUUAGCCCAGGGUGGUGAUAUGACCCAGUCCUAUCCAAUCACCAUGGUCCCGCCUCCUGGCUACCACAAUUGGCUCAGGGAUGAGCACGUGGCCCAUAGCAGCCCAGUGAGAGUCAGCCCUGGGUGGGAACUGGUGGGAAAGAAUUCUGCUGGAGCAUCUGGAGUUGCUCAAAUGGAGUGGCUGUGGCCAUCUUUCCUUACACGUGGGGAGGAAUCAGCCUGAGAAUGAAACCAUCACAGGAAAGGGCUGAAAGACGGUGAGUGUGUGCUUUCUAAGGGCAGCAUUUGGGCCUUGGCCCCAGCCGGCCCUGAAGCCAGCACAACCCCCGGAACGUCUCAAUUUGUGAGCCAAUAAAUGCCCUUGAUGGUUUAGGCAAGUUUUCACUGGGUCUUACCCGACGUGAGCCCCCACUCCUCCAUAUGGACCUGUUUUGGACCAAUGAGGCAUCCUCUUCUGUAGUCCUCAACACGCGGAGCUCCACCACUCCUGAGCAGUGUGACCUCAGGUGGGGUUGGGGAGAGGCCUCGGGAUGGCAAGGACCAGGGUCUGCGGCCAAGCCUGUGGGUCCUGUCUCCCUCUAGGAUGCCCCUGGGACACUGGUACCCAUGGAUGCACUGGGUGACUUGAGGUGCUUGCUGCAGAGGCAUCGGGGGUCUCUGGCCAGAGGUGACAUCUGAAGCAAUCGGGAUCCUGUUUGGUUUUGCCACAUCCGACCUGCCGCCCAGCUGGGGCAAGACAGCCACGCGCGGCGGAUGCACCGGCCCUGAACUCUUUCUCGAGUAGUCCCCAGAGAUUUCAGGAAGAGAGAGAAGAGGUAAAGAGACCAGAAACAAAGUCUUCUGCAAGCAAAGAACUGCAACAGGCCCCAGCUGUUAGGUUUGAGGGGCGUAUGGGGCAGGCGACUGAACUGCAGAGUUGGAGCCAGAGGUACCAUUGCUGACCCCUGAGCCCAGGAGCCUUGAGAAUACUGACAGUGUUAAUAAUAACUGCAAUCAUCCAACAUAUGAUGCUAGAAUAACUGGACAUCUGUGUGCAAAAAUAUUAAACCUAUACCUUGCACCUUA